rnacentral:rRNA from 1 species
CCUACGGGAGGCAGCAGUAGGGAAUCUUCCACAAUGGGCGCAAGCCUGAUGGAGCAACACCGCGUGAGUGAAGAAGGGUUUCGGCUCGUAAAGCUCUGUUGUUGGAGAAGAACGUGCGUGAGAGUAACUGUUCACGCAGUGACGGUAUCCAACCAGAAAGUCACGGCUAACUACGUGCCAGCAGCCGCGGUAAUACGUAGGUGGCAAGCGUUAGCCGGAUUUAUUGGGCGUAAAGCGAGCGCAGGCGGUUGCUUAGGUCUGAUGUGAAAGCCUUCGGCUUAACCGAAGAAGUGCAUCGGAAACCGGGCAACUUGAGUGCAGAAGAGGACAGUGGAACUCCAUGUGUAGCGGUGGAAUGCGUAGAGAUAUGGAAGAACACCAGUGGCGAAGGCGGCUGUCUGGUCUGCAACUGACGCUGAGGCUCGAAAGCAUGGGUAGCGAACAGGAUUAGAUACCCGUGUAGUC